rnacentral:rRNA from 1 species
UACGGAGGGGGCUAGCGUUGUUCGGAAUUACUGGGCGUAAAGCGCGCGUAGGCGGACCUGCAAGUCGGGGGUGAAAGCCCGAGGCUCAACCUCGGAACUGCCUUCGAUACUGCGGGUCUCGAGUCCGGGAGAGGUGAGUGGAAUUCCUAGUGUAGAGGUGAAAUUCGUAGAUAUUAGGAAGAACACCAGUGGCGAAGGCGGCUCACUGGACAUGUAUUGACGCUGAGGUGCGAAAGCGUGGGGAGCAAACAGG